UGACCUCAGAUCAGUCGCGAGUACCCGCUGAACUUAAGCAUAUCAAUAAGCGGAGGAAAAGAAACUAACCAGGAUUCCCUUGGUAACGGCGAGUGAAGAGGGAAGAGCCCAGCACCGAAGCCUGCGGCAGUUUUGCUGCUAGGCAAUGUGGUGUGUGGGUCGGCUCGCGGGACCAUCACUCCACUCGAAGUCCAGCAUUGAGUAUGGCUUCACUGGAUUUGGCCCAUAGAGGGUGAGAGGCCCGUACGGGUGGAGGUUCAGACAUGUGCGAUGGUUCACCAGGCCGGCCUCAGAGUCGGGUUGUUUGAGAUUGCAGCCCAAAGAGGGUGGUAAACUCCAUCCAAGGCUAAAUACUGCCACGAGUCCGAUAGCGAACAAGUACCAUGAGGGAAAGUUGAAAAGUACUCUGAAGAGAGAGUAAACAGUACGUGAAGCCGCAUGCAGGUAAACGGGUGGCGUCAAGCUGCGAGCCCGGAGGAUUCAGCUGACUGGGAUGUAGUGUACGCGCGCCUGGUGCGUCGAGAGGCCGGAGUAAGAUGUUUGGCGGUCCACUCCUCUCUCGGGAGUGGGGCGCGAUCGAUGUGCGCUUGCGUAUGUCGGUUGUCGCUAUGCAUGCCGGGUGGGUGCCGGAGCAUGCCGCUCGUCUGUUGGGCCACCUAGUCAGUGCAUUUUCUCCGUGGUGAACACCACGACCGGUGGGACUGCCAGUCUGCUGCGAGCAAGUCGUGUCCUCCUGAUUACCUUGUGUGUUGGGUGGGCGCGAUCGCAGGCGGAAUGGGUGAACGGCGCAGUGGUACCUCGGUGCUGCCGCGUGUUAUCGUGCACUCUCCGUUGUAAGCGGUUAGUGGGUUAGUGCUGUGACUACUUGCCCUCUGAUCGGCGGCUCGUAGUGGUGAAAGUAACUGUGCAGGGCACCGGAGUUCUCCACCUCAUUCAAUAUGGUACUCGGCACGCACGUCAUAGGUGCUGUUGAAUCGGGAUGCGCCGCUGUCUGCCUAGUGUUGGGCCUGACUGUCGUGUUGCCUGCGCAAAGUGGGUCCGGCGGUGGCUUCGAUGCUGGGCAGCUCUGCAGUGUGUUGCGUGUCUCGGGUGUCUGUAGUGCCGGGGGUGAAAUAGUCAGUGGUGCUGUGGUAGACGAGCUACCCGACCCGUCUUGAAACACGGACCAAGGAGUUUAACAUGUGUGCGAGUCAAAGGGUCCUACGAAACCCCUAGGCGCAGUGAAAGUGAAGUUCAUGCUGCACUUCUGCACAUACGCGGUGCAGCGUGGCGAGGUGAGAUCUCGUUGUACUCAUGACACACGCCGUAGACCUCUCUACUGGGCAUUAUAACUGGGGCAACGAGCGCAUCACCGGCCCGUCUCAUGAUGUGGUCAUGGGUGUACUUGCGCGUGGAGUGGCAACACAAAACGCGUAAAGCCUGUGCGUCAUCGGGGCGGAGCAUGAGCACACACGUUGAGACCCGAAAGAUGGUGAACUAUGCUUGCGUAGGUUGAAGCCAGAGGAAACUCUGGUGGAGGACCGUAGCGAUUCUGACGUGCAAAUCGAUCGUCAAACGUGAGUAUAGGGGCGAAAGACUAAUCGAACCAUCUAGUAGCUGGUUCCCUCCGAAGUUUCCCUCAGGAUAGCUGGCGCUCAUUGGUAUAAUCAGUUUUAUCCGGUAAAGCGAAUGAUUAGAGGUACUGGGUUCGAAAUGGACUCAACCUAUUCUCAAACUUUAAAUGGGUGAGAUGCUCGACUCGCCUCGUGUGCGUGCGUGUUCUACUGCGCGGAGUCGGGCGUUGAAUGUGCGAGUGCCAAGUGGGCCAUUUUUGGUAAGCAGAACUGGCGCUGUGGGAUGAACCAAACGCGUGGUUAAGGUGCCUAACGCUGACGCUCAUGAGAUACCACAAAAGGUGUUGGUUAAUAUAGACAGCAGGACGGUGGCCAUGGAAGUCGGCACCCGCUAAGGAGUGUGUAACAACUCACCUGCCGAAUUGACCAGCCCUGAAAAUGGAUGGCGCUAGAGCGUCGGACCUAUACCGCGCCGUCAUCGCAAGCUGCAUCUCCCCAUGGGGGGUUGUAUAUUAUGCGAGCGUGUGUGAUCGCAGUUACAUUCAUGGUGCAGGCAAGGAGUGCGAUGACGAGUAGGAGGGUCGCCGUGGUGAGCGUAGAAGCCUCUGGCGUGAGUCAGGGUGGAGCCGCCACGGGUGCAGAUCUUGGUGGUAGUAGCAAAUAUUCAAGUGAGAACCUUGAAGGCCGAGGUGGAGAAGGGUUCCAUGGGAACAGCAGUUGGCCAUGGGUCAGGCGGUCCUAAGCGAUCCGGUGACUCGGUACAGAGUCGUGGGGUGCCUUUUACGUUUCUGUGUUGAAGCAUUUGUGUAUGUGUGUGUGUGCUGGCAGCCCCUCGGAGCGAAAGGGAAUCGGGUUAAUAUUCCCGACCCUGCCCACGGAGAUAGGUGGUGCAUGUGUGCUUGUAUCCAACCAGUGCGAGUUACUGGCAUCACCAAGCGCGGUAACGCAAACGAACUCGGAGACGUCGGCAAGAGUUCCGGGAAGAGUUUUCUUUUCUUUGUAAGGACGGCUACCACCCCUGGAAUCGGGUUGUCCGGAGAUAGGGGUCUCGCCUCCGUAAAGCACCACCCCUCUUGUGGUGUCCGGUACGCUCUUGUCGGCCCUUGAAAAUCCGAGGGAGGCAUUGUGAUUUUCGUGGCAGGCCGUACCCAUAUCCGCAUCAGGUCUCCAAGGUGAAGAGCCUCUGGCACUAGAAUAAUGUAGGUAAGGGAAGUCGGCAUAUUUGAUCCGUAACCUCGGGAAAAGGAUUGGCUCUGAGGGCUGAGUUAAACAGGCUGAGGUAGGAAACGUGCCUGCUUAACUCGCGGCUGGUUCGAGUGCUGGCUCAUCCCUGCUGCCGCUGCUGUGCUUCGCCGCGGUGGUGGUGGCGGCGGGCUGUGCGCUCAAACUGGAAGCGGGCAGAGUGGGUCGUGGGCGACUUCAGCUAUGCAUACGCCUUGGUUGGCAACUGUGUACGGCCGCUGCCUUAACGGGUGGUGUGCAGGCAGUUGUAUGGCCUCGGGGGGUAUUUGUUUAACAUGAAACAGCCAACUCAGAACUGGCACGGACCUGGGGAAUCCGACUGUCUAAUUAAAACAAAGCAUUGCGAUGUCUGCUGAUCGGUUUUGACGCAAUGUGAUUUCUGCCCAGUGCUCUGAAUGUCAAAGUGAAGAAAUUCAACCAAGCGCGGGUAAACGGCGGGAGUAACUAUGACUCUCUUAAGGUAGCCAAAUGCCUCGUCAUCUAAUUAGUGACGCGCAUGAAUGGAUUAACGAGAUUCCUACUGUCCCUAUCUACUAUCUAGCGAAACCACAGCCAAGGGAACGGGCUUGGCAGAAUCAGCGGGGAAAGAAGACCCUGUUGAGCUUGACUCUAGUCCGACUUUGUGAAGAGACAUGGCGGGGGG
rfam:Hymenolepis nana genome assembly, scaffold: HNAJ_contig0003985